CUUUCAAUGGUCCAUUUCUUUUCAAAUUUCAGCCUUUGUUCCAACCAAUAUAUUUUAGGCCUUUUUUCAAAGCCCGAAUAGAUUUGGUCCAAUAGGCAUUUCGGCCAUUUUUCUUUUGGGCUAUAUAUUUCUUUUUCUGGCCACUUUUAGUCAAGAAAUGAAUUUCAAGUGAAUAAAAAGUAAUAUUCUGAGUUCAGCGAGCAAGUAUACAUCAAGUUCAGCGAGUAAAUAUACAUCAAAUUCCCAGCAUGUUCAGCAGUACAUCAAAUUUCUCAAGAAUAUUAGCAUUACAAAUUCAGUAAUAUAUAAAGCAAGUUGUUGACUGGGGCUUCGGG
rnacentral:lncRNA from 1 species